GACGAACGCUGGCGGCGUGCUUAACACAUGCGAGUCGAGCGGUAAGGCCUUUCGGGGUACACGAGCGGCGAACGGGUGAGUAACACGUGGGUGAUCUGUCCUGCACUUCGGGAUAAGCCUGGGAAACUGGGUCUAAUACCGGAUAUGACCUCCUAUCGCAUGGUGGGUGGUGGAAAGAUUUAUCGGUGCAGGAUGGGCCCGCGGCCUAUCAGCUUGUUGGUGGGGUAAUGGCCUACCAAGGCGACGACGGGUAGCCGACCUGAGAGGGUGACCGGCCACACUGGGACUGAGACACGGCCCAGACUCCUACGGGAGGCAGCAGUGGGGAAUAUUGCACAAUGGGCGAAAGCCUGAUGCAGCGACGCCGCGUGAGGGAUGACGGCCUUCGGGUUGUAAACCUCUUUCAGCAGGGACGAAGCGCAAGUGACGGUACCUGCAGAAGAAGCACCGGCUAACUACGUG
rnacentral:rRNA from 1 species